CAGCAGAAAAGGAGACCAUCCAUCGCAGUGAGAAAUGUAGUGGAAACAUCCUCCCUUUGCAGUACGAGGGUGUGGGAAAAGCUGAGCACCGUCUCCUGGAAGCAGCAAACACAAACCCGCGGCGGCAACAGAUGCUGGACCUGCUGCCUCACCUGGGAGCGCCGUGGAAGAGCCUGCUGCUGCUUGGCCACUCCUCUGCCCUGCCGUGUGGCUGGUGCCCCUGGGGCUUGGCCAUAGGAUGCCUCUAAAUCCAGUACUUCAGGGUCAGCUGCCCCUCAGCCCCCCGCCACCUGCAGACCUGCUGAGCAGAGGGAUGCAUCUCCUCACCCUGCAGCCUCUCUGCAUGGGUGAUGCUUCCCCUUUCCUGCCUCUUCCCUCACACCUGGUGCUCUCUCCGGUGCUGUUUGCAGUGGAUCUCGUACUUACUGACCCGCCAGCCAGUGCUGGUGGCCCAGGUGGUGAAAGGUGUGGGCUUUGCUGUUCCUCUCAAAAAUUGCAGAGGAGACAGAGAGGGAUCCUUGGAAGUGCUGUAGAUGCAUGUGUAGGACCAAUGUGUGCCAUGCUCUCCUCUGUUGUGUUCAGUUCAGUUCUGUUCUAUUCUAUUCCAUCCCAUCCCAUCCCAUCGCAUCCCCAGGAGCCGACAGAAAUCCUGCCUGGUGGAAGGGGUGUAGGGAUGAGGGGCUCUGCUCUGGAUUUGUUUCUGUGCAGGAGCACGAGCUGUCCUAGGCUUGCUUUUUUUCACCACUAGAUUUGUGAUGGGAUGCACAGCAUGGCUCCAUUUCCCAACCCAGCCUCUUUCCCUCUCCCCUCCUUCCAUGCCUACCCAAUGUUUUUAUGAAUCUGGUGGGUUUGCCUGAGUGGGAGCUCAAGCAUUACCCUAUCCUUGUAGUGUGGGUACACUGGAAAACAGACAUGGUCCUGGGAUGUGUGCAUCAGUGAUGACCCAUGGGUUGUCCUUCUUAUGUGUUUAUGUGCAUCCCCGCCCCCCUCUGCAUGUUCCCUGCAUCUUCCUUCACAAUUUCAUUUCUUUUGCCUCUCCUUGGUGCCCUUUCUUCCUCCUCUCUCACCCUCUCUCUCUUUCUCCUGCCCUCCUCCUCAUUCUCUUUUCUCAUUUGAUAUUCAUGCAUGAAUAAAUUCAAUUGCAUUUUUUUCCCUGUUCCCCCUGAAGGGGCUUGUUGGUGAAUUGCAGGCAUCUGAAAUCAUAUAAUGCUCAGAUUCAUCAUUUCAGGGACAAAAUUGAAGCCCUUCUGCUUCCCAAGAAGAAAUAGCAGAUGUCUUUUUAUGAGGAGAGCCCUCCUUGUGCACCUUAAGGAUCCUCUGAGGGCUGAGUUCAUCUUUCAGGAGAAGAAACAAGAUUAGACACUCCAUAAAACACAGCCCUAUUCUGCUGCUGCCUCUGAUCCAACGGCACUGCAGGGCCUUGCGAGGGGCCGUGGCAGGGCCAGCCACUGUCUUGAGGCUCAAGGGACUUUAACCUAGGUGGCAAAACCAGCCCUGGGCUCCGUGGCUUCUGCUCAAUGCCUGUGGCAAAGCCAAGCCAAGCCAUGUGGGGAUGGAGGGUGGUUUUCACUCUAGAUUGUGGCUUUACCAGAAGGUGGGCCUGCUCCGUGUCUGUCCCACAGAGAGUUAACAUCAGAGGGCCUGUUUCGCAGUCAGAUCGAAGUGCCUGCUUUCCCAGCCAUUUUUAGGUCAGAAGUGUUAAUUACCCUGACCCAGCUAUUCCAACCGUGAGCACAAAGUCUGCGUCAGCUGGCACAGUCUUCGUCUUGGUGGGGAAGAGCCGGAGAAGAAUCUG